rnacentral:lncRNA from 1 species
AUGAAGCAUUGUUAUACAUUCCUCUUAGUCUCGACUUUAGGAAUCAUUUUUUUCGCUAUCUUUUUUAGAGAACCCCCUAUAGUUCCAACUAAAAAGACGAAAUGAUUUUGAAUUACCUCAAUUGAAGUAAUGAGCCUCCAAUAUUACGAUAUUGGAGGCUCAUUAUUUCAACUAGUCCCCAUGUUCUUCGAAUGGAUCUCUUAGUUGAGAGGUGCCCAAAAGCAGUAUAUAGGCAUACCCGUAAAACUGACAAUUAAACCAGAUAUAGAGAUGGCAAUUAGGGUUGCUGUUUCCAUGAUUAUAUAAUAUCAAGACUACAAUGGAUCUAUAGGGUAAUUUACAGCGUAAUGGUAUACAAAGUCAACAGAUCUCAAUGAAAAAAAAAAAAAUAGGAUUUAU